rnacentral:rRNA from 1 species
UACGGAGGGGGUUAGCGUUGUUCGGAAUUACUGGGCGUAAAGCGCGCGUAGGCGGACCGUUAAGUCAGAGGUGAAAUCCCGGGGCUCAACCCCGGAACUGCCUUUGAUACUGGCGGUCUUGAGUUCGAGAGAGGUGAGUGGAAUUCCAAGUGUAGAGGUGAAAUUCGUAGAUAUUUGGAGGAACAUCAGUGGCGAAGGCGGCUCACUGGCUCGAAACUGACGCUGAGGUGCGAAAGUGUGGGGAGCAAACAGG